rnacentral:rRNA from 1 species
UACCAUGCAGUCGAGCGAGACCUUCGGGUCUAGCGGCGGACGGGUGAGUAACGCGUGGGAACGUGCCCUUCUCUACGGAAUAGCCCCGGGAAACUGGGAGUAAUACCGUAUACGCCCUUUGGGGGAAAGAUUUAUCGGAGAAGGAUCGGCCCGCGUUGGAUUAGGUAGUUGGUGGGGUAAUGGCCCACCAAGCCGACGAUCCAUAGCUGGUUUGAGAGGAUGAUCAGCCACACUGGGACUGAGACACGGCCCAGACUCCUACGGGAGGCAGCAGUGGGGAAUCUUAGACAAUGGGGGCAACCCUGAUCUAGCCAUGCCGCGUGAGUGAUGAAGGCCUUAGGGUUGUAAAGCUCUUUCAGCUGGGAAGAUAAUGACGGUACCAGCAGAAGAAGCCCCGGCUAACUCCGUGCCAGCAG